UGGGGAAUAUUGCACAAUGGGCGCAAGCCUGAUGCAGCAACGCCGCGUGAGGGAUGACGGCCUUCGGGUUGUAAACCUCUUUUAGCAGGGAAGAAGCGAAAGUGACGGUACCUGCAGAAAAAGCGCCGGCUAACUACGUGCCAGCAGCCGCGGUAAUACGUAGGGCGCAAGCGUUAUCCGGAAUUAUUGGGCGUAAAGAGCUCGUAGGCGGUUUGUCGCGUCUGCUGUGAAAUCCCGAGGCUCAACCUCGGGUCUGCAGUGGGUACGGGCAGACUAGAGUGCGGUAGGGGAGAUUGGAACUCCUGGUGUAGCGGUGGAAUGCGCAGAUAUCAGGAGGAACACCGAUGGCGAAGGCAGAUCUCUGGGCCCGUAACUGACGCUGAGGAGCGAAAGGGUGGGGAGCAAACAGGCUUAGAUGACCCUGGUAGUCCACCCCGU
rnacentral:rRNA from 1 species